rnacentral:rRNA from 1 species
UUUUAUGGAGAGUUUGAUCCUGGCUCAGGACGAACGCUGGCGGCGUGCCUAAUACAUGCAAGUCGAGCGAACAGAGAAGGAGCUUGCUCCUUUGACGUUAGCGGCGGACGGGUGAGUAACACGUGGGCAACCUACCUUAUAGUUUGGGAUAACUCCGGGAAACCGGGGCUAAUACCGAAUAAUCUGUUUCACCUCAUGGUGAAAUAUUGAAAGACGGUUUCGGCUGUCGCUAUAGGAUGGGCCCGCGGCGCAUUAGCUAGUUGGUGAGGUAAC